ACUUGGAGCAUACUGUCGAAAAUCAAAAAAAAAUAAACGAUGCGCAGCUAAUAUCAAUAAACAAGUUGACCAAAUUAUUCGGAGACUAAUGGGAUUAGCUUAUCUUCCUGCUCACGCCAUUCCAGAGACUUACGCGAAAAUUCGGAAUUUAAUUAAAGAUCAUGUUGUGAAAACAAAUAUGAAUAAGUUUCUGUGUUAUUUCGAGAGACAGUGGUUGACAAAAAGACCUCCCGAAGAAUGGUCACAAUUCAAACACACAAGGACAACAAAUAACCCUUCUGAAUCUUUGAAUCAUAUUUUAAAUGUAGAGUUCGGUGAACAUCCGCAUCCGUGGAAUUUCGUUCGAAUUUUAGUCAAGAUUCAAAACAGAUUCCAUAAUAAUUUUGCCUCUAUUAAAAAAAAUCAAGUUCAUAAAAAAACUAACACGCAAACGAUGCAAAAAAUGAAAAAAAUUGAGAAUUUGAAUAAACAGUUGGAUGGGAAAUUAAUUAGUCCAAUGGAGUUCGUAGAAUUGGUAUAAAAUUAUAUAAAUUACAGAGCAAAUUCUGAAUCUGAGGUCAGUGAUGAAAGCGGUGACAAGUCCCCCGAAAAUGAAAUGACAGACGAUGAAGAUGAUGAUAUUGAUGAUAAUGAUAUUGUUGAUGAUAAUGCCAAUGGUCGUGAUAAUGAUGAUAGUGAUAAUGCCAAUGGUGGUGAUAAUGACAAUAGUGGUGAUAAUAAUUAUGAUUAUGAUAUUGGGAAUGAUGAUGAUUAUAAUGAUGAUGUUAUGAUUAAUGCUAUUGAUGUUGAUAUGGAUAGUGAAGAAAGUUUUUGUUUGCGGUGGGAAGAU